rnacentral:rRNA from 1 species
GUCUUUACGAAGUUAUAUCAAGUCUAACCUGCCCAGUGAAAAUUUUCAACGGCCGCGGUUUAAUCGUGCAAAGGUAGCAUAAUCAUUAGUAUUUUAAUUGAAGGCUAGAAUGAAAGGUUGGACAAAAAACCAGCUGUCUUUUAUUUAAUCUUGAAUUUGUUUUUUAAGUGAAAAAACUUAAAUAAUUUUAAGGGACGAUAAGACCCUAUAAAUCUUUAUAUAAACUAUUUUAUAAUUUUAAUUUAUUAUGUGAAUAAAAUAUAAAAAAAGUAUAUUUUGUUGGGGUGACAAAAAUAAACAAGUAACUGUUUUAUAAUUUAAUCAAUAAUUUUUGAAUAUUUUAAGACCCUUUUUAAAGAUCAAAAAAUUAAGUUACUUUAGGGAUAACAGCGUUAUUUUUUUUGAGAGCCCUAAUCGAAAAAAAAGUUUACGACCUCGAUGUUGAAUUAAAAUUUCUUUAUAAUGCAGAAGUUAUAAAAAGAAAGUCUGUUCGACUUUUAAAAUUUU